UCCCUCAUGGCUCAGUCGGUAGAGAUUCUGCCUGCAAUGCAGGAGACCUGGGUUCGAUUCCUGGGUUGGGAA
rnacentral:tRNA from 1 species